rnacentral:tRNA from 1 species
UUCUAUAGGCCAGCUGGUUAGAGCGCACGCCUGAUAAGCGUGAGGUCGAUGGUUCGAGUCCAUUUAGGCCCA